CGGUUAUCGAUCGCACAUUUAUAACAUAAGGAUAUUUACUGUGUGAUUUUCCUAUUCUUUUUUUUAAUCCUAUCUGCCAGAUGAUUGCUUGCAUUAUUGAACCAUGAACAGUGAUUAAACGUUGAUCAAUCAUGGCACAUCUCGACUGUGGCACAUAUGUACAAGAUCUCAAUGGUUUGACUUAUACCAGAUAGCCAGCUAGCGUCACAUGUAUGGUUAGCUAGGGCACAUCAGCAAUCCAGUUUAAUUGCGCUCUCGUUGAAGCAUCAUAUAUAUCUUGUACAUCUGCCAGACUAAUUAAUCAACCCCAUUCAUCCGUUAGACGACGCUUCUCCUAAGGGCAAAAGUAGUGUCGUGUGAGUGUGGCCAAUUCAAUUUCUUUGAGUUUUGACUUUGCUGCUUCACUUCUAUAGGCUUCAACUGAGCUACCUACUAUCGAAUUUUACAAGUUUGCAUCCGAUCUGUACUCUAAAGCUCAUCUAAGUCAAGCUACUACUCGAUCUUCG
rnacentral:lncRNA from 1 species